rnacentral:tRNA from 2 species
GCCCGGCUAGCUCAAUCGGUAGAGCGUGAGACUCUUAAUUCAAGGUCCAUCUCAAGGUUGUGGGUUCGACCCCCACGUUGGGCU